GCCUUAGUAGUAUAAAAAUUACACUGGUCUUGUAAACCAAAAAUGGGGUAUCACUCCCCCUAAGACA
rnacentral:tRNA from 1 species